AACAUUUCUUUUUGAUUUAAUAAAAAGUAAAGUCUGCCCACUGUAUAAAUAAAGGGCCGCGGUAUUUUGACCGUGCAAAGGUAGCAUAAUCAUUAGUCUUUUGAUUGGGGAAUGGAAUGAAUGGCUUAAUGAUUUUUUACUUUUAUUAGUAUUAAGUUAGAAUUUUGAUUUUAAGUGAAAAUACUUAAAUUUAUUAAAUAGACGAUAAGACCCUAUAGAAUUUUAUUUUUAUUAUUUAUUUAAUAUAAAUUUAAAAAUUUGAAUGGGGCAUUUAUUGAAUAAAAUUAAUUUCUUUAAGUUUUUAAAAAAUAUCUUUAUUUAAAGAGUAUAAAAAAAUUACCUUAGGGAUAACAGCGUAAUAAUUUUUGAGAGUUCAUAUCGACAAAAUAGUUUGCGACCUCGAUGUUGAAUUAAAAUUCCUUUAUAAAGCAGCUUUUAUAUUUGGUAGUCUGUUCGACUAUAAAAUUUUUACAUGAUUUGAGU
rnacentral:rRNA from 1 species